rnacentral:rRNA from 1 species
GAUGAACGCUGGCGGCGUGCCUAAUACAUGCAAGUCGAGCGAAUGGAUUAAGAGCUUGCUCUUAUGAAGUUAGCGGCGGACGGGUGAGUAACACGUGGGUAACCUGCCCAUAAGACUAGGAUAACUCCGGGAAACCGGGGCUAAUACCGGAUAACAUUUUGAACCGCAUGGUUCGAAAUUGAAAGGCGGCUUCGGCUGUCACUUAUGGAUGGACCCGCGUCGCAUUAGCUAGUUGGUGAGGUAACGUCUCACCAAGGCAACGAUGCGUAGCCGACCUGAGAGGGUGAUCGGCCACACUGGGACUGAGACACGGCCCAGACUCCUACGGGAGGCAGCGGUAGGGAAUCUUCCGCAAUGGACGAAAGUCUGACGGAGCAACGCCGCGUGAGUGAUGAAGGCUUUCGGGUCGUAAAACUCUGUUGUUAGGGAAGAACAAGUGCUAGUUGAAUAAGCUGGCACCUUGACGGUACCUAACCAGAAAGCCACGGCUAACUACGUGCCAGCCGCCGCGGUAA